rnacentral:tRNA from 1 species
GGAGGGUUGGCAGAGCGGUAAUGCACUGGUCUUGAAAUCUGGUGAGUCCGAAAGGAUACGUGGGUUCAAUUCCCACCCCCUCCU